UUAAAAAGUAACUCGGAAAAACCAAAGACUAUGCUUGGAGAAGGGAAAAAGAAAAAAUCAUCGCUAUCCUCAGAGAAAGGAGAGAAUAUCCCAACCAUGAAAAGGGACAGGAAAUCAGACAUUAAAGAAGACUAAGCUGUGGUUUCCCAAAGAUAAGCAGAUGCCACCAUCACUUCUCAGUCAUUGAACUUGUUCUUCAAAGGAAAUUUUACUGAACUGAACUGAAGCAAAAUAAAUACAGAUGAGAUGCACUAUGCGAAGGCAGAAGUAACAGGUCAGAGCCCCACCCAACGGCUUGCUCAAGAUUUCCAAGAAACCCCGAAGACUCUGCGGAACAUCAUUGAAAACCAAUGAAGAAAAGCCACCCUCCUUUCUAGUUUGAGUAUCAAAAUGUCACAUCCGUCCAAUCUUGUUGACCAUGAAAAUUAAUUUAGGGUCUAAUAUCUGAAUCAAACUUGUCUAAUCUAAAGACGGUCAGCCUGUGGGUAGAAACACCCAACUGUAUAAUGAACCAUAGUGGGAACUUGCCUGGCAGUCCAGUGGUUAAGACUCCUCAUUUCAGAGCAUCGGUUCUAUCCUGGGUUGGGGAGUUAGGAUCCCACAUGUCUCACAGUGCAGCCAAAAAAUAAAUUAACUAAUUAAAUAUAUAAAAUAAGCCUCAACAGUACUUCUGAGGCUCUUCAGUUUCAUCAGCGGCGUACUUUGUUGCUGUUGUCGUUCCCUGACCUGCGUAAUAUGCAGAAUGCUUUCGGAGGUUUUUAAUCACUUUGCCCUCUUCUUUUCAAAAAUGGAGCAAGUAUAACAAAAAGAAAAACAAAUUUACUGAGGUCUAACUGGCAUAUAACAUUCUAUUGGUUUCUAUACCAUGUAAAGGUUUUAUAUUUGCAGAUAUUGUGAAAUGUUCGCCACAGUAAGUCUAAUUACCACCUGUCACUGCACAAAGUUAACUUUGAGGACUUACUCUCUCGGCAGCUUUCAAAUACGCUCUCCACUCUCAUUGACCCUUGUCACCAUCCCAUACUUUAUAUCCCCGUGAUUUAUUUAGUUUGCAACCGGAAACUUGUACCUUCUAAAACCCUUUUCAUGUUUUACUCAUCCCCAACCCUCCUCCCCUUUGGCAACCACUGCUCUUGAACAAGUAUUUUUGAACUUAGCCAUAUAUCAGGAUUGGAGAGGCAGUGGUUGGAAAGACAGACACACCCCUCCCUUAAAAGGAGCCACAUGCAGAAAUACACAGUGCUUAGGAACAUCACGUAAAGUCUAGGCAAGCAUAAAAGAACCCAAGUUCAUUAUAGCCAGCAUUCAUACAACUGUCUUAUCAUUCAAUUCAACAAAUAAUUAUUGUUACCUACUAAAUGCCAUGCUCUAUUUAGAUGGAGGGAGAC